GUCCCGGUGCGGUUGUUGUGAAUGAACUAAGUGUGGCGUGUUUCUGAGCGAACGAAUUAAACGCGGUGCUCCAAAUUUAGCGGAAAACAAUUUUAAGAUUUUAUUGCUUCGUAGUAAAGCUGUUAAAGUGUUGAAGAAAGAAAAUUUAAGCAUGAAAUUUUGGGGGUAAUAAAAAUACAAACAUGUCUACAUAUUUUGAUUCGCGAAACAUAGAGCAGCAGCCGAAGAUUUAUGAAAUAACAAACAUUGAAAGUGAAUUAAGGCGGCCUACAUAAAUAUGAGAGAGCACGAAUAGUGUGCCAACCAAAUCUACUUACUCCCUUACUCCUAUGCGUAGUUGGAAUAGUCAGUUCCUGCAAAGAAGUUAAACAAAAUUGCAUAAGCAGCAACAGAAGCAACAUCAGCAGGAUAUGGACGCCCAAAGUAAAACGCAUAAGUACCAACGCUAGACUGCCAGUCAGCAGGAGAUGUCGACGCAAGAAGGAAGUCAACAAUCGCACUUAUAGGAUGCUUAAGUGAAAAUGUCAGCAGGUCCACUACAGAAGAUGCGCUGCGAAAGAGCGAACAUGCAACAAGGACCACACUUGAAACUUCUCAGCAGCAUUGAAGAUAGAAACAAAAUCAUAAACAUAAAUAAUAGUCAACAAAUAUGUAUUAUGCAACAUACUUGCCGCCGGCUUGCAAGCAACACAAAUACAAGUUGAAACCAGAAAUAUUUUAUUAUACAACUGUAAAACACAAAAUCAGAAGUGCGUGUGUGUGUGUGUGUGUGCGCACGUGCCGCAAGUAUCUUGCAACGAAACGCGGCAGAACAAGCAAUAAAAUACGAAGUGAUAAAUUGAGCUGAAAGUAUCAAGACGCUCAUACAAAUUUCAACUGGCGCAAAUUUAUGCCGCAAGGACUUUACAAAAGCUAAAGAUAUUCAUGCGAUUUUUUUAAAUUUCAACCGCGUCGCGUUCACCCAACGUGGCCGCCUCCAAAUUCUCUAACCUCGCGCUGCAGUCGCAACCAUGAAUACAACGUUACAUGUCCUUGUCGCAUGCAGCAAGUAGCUCAAGUACAAGGUUCGCUUAUCCUAGUUUAGUUCAGCGUUGUUUUAGGGGCCGCAACACGUCUCGAGCUAUAUAAAGGCACACGCGAAAACACACAAACGCAGAAUGAACGAGUGAUUGUUGCACAAUAGUGAAGCAUAAACGUACAGUUAAGCGUCAUAUAAAUCUCGAGCCACACUAUGCCACUCAUCGUCCGAAGCAUCACAAUUCUGCUGCCAUCGUUGAAAGCACGCAAAUUAAUCGUGCUCGAAGAAAAUAAGCUCACAAAAAUACAAAAGUAAAAAUUAAAAAACAAUUGUGAAAAAUAUAAACGAAAAGGAAGUAACGAAGCGAAAUAAAAAGGCAAAAAAUUCGUAGCAAACAAACUGUAGUGCAAAGGUUGAAUUUCCCGUACGCGUUCGUCGUCUCGUGCAACGCUGCCGCAAACCUGUCCGUCAAAAUGCAAGUUCAAGUUCAGCGUUCUUGGGCUACUUAAGCUAGCUUGCUUGCCAAGUGCCACCUCGUGCGCUUCGUUCGUCGGCUGGUCGAGCGCUCGUUUGGUCGAAUGAUUGCUGAUUUUUUGUUGUGGUCACGGCAGUAUGAAAUCGAAAUCGAAAUUGAAAAUGGCUAACACAAAUCAAAGGAACAGAAGGAGCAUAUGCAACAGCAAGAGCAGUACGCCAGCACCGGUGGCAGCAAUGCAUUUCUGUUGCCGGUCAAAACAGCUGUCGUGUUGUAAACAAGUCACGCAACAGUGGCAGCACGUCGUCGUUGUUGCACAGUGUUGCCCGAUAGCAACGCCGGAAUUGUUGUGACGGCUUCGAAGCACAGCCAGGAUUAUUAUUUACUUCACAUCGCUGUUUUGUUAAUAUUGUAGCUGUCAAUUGGCGUUGGUGUUGAAGAUUAAGGAUGGAGCUAAAUCAACGUCGACGACUAUGCUGUUGUUUUCACUCCCUGCCGUUCUGGCACGCCUUCAAGGCUAUGAUACCCGAUGUACAAUAUGAAUCCGAAAGAAUUCACCGCUACCGCUUAAGUUCUAGGAAAAGUCCCACAAGUUAUCAGACAGCUGCCGCUGAUCAGAUGAUUGCCGCCCGAGUGCCGUCGCCAUUAUGCUUCUGCCGCUUAAGUGCCGUCGCCAUUAUGCUUCCGCCGCCUAUAGCCGAAGACGACCAAUGCUCGAAACAACGUCUAACGGCGCAUAUGAGAGCUUUCCAGUAUUGCCUCAUUAACUUUCGAGAAACUAAAAGAGUUGAGAACAUGAACACCAAGCUCAUAGAAUUUAAAACACUAAACUUGUUUUCAUUGUACAUAAUUAUUUAUUUAAUCUUUUUAUUAAUCUGCGUGCCGCUGCCAACACUCGUAAAUCAAAGUGAGUUCAUUGGAAUUGCAAGCGGUAUACCAGUAGUUAACAAUAACGCAAUAACGCCACUGAGGCAUAUUCAUUUAACAACAUACAACGGCAUUUUGUAUUUUUUAUUGAA